rfam:Oesophagostomum dentatum strain OD-Hann O_dentatum-1.0_Cont1871.11, whole genome shotgun sequence.
UUUCCCAUUCCUGAACAUAUACUAAAAUUGGAACAAUACAGAGAAGAUGGCCCCUGCGCAGGGAGGACACGCAAUUCGUGAAGCGCUCCAAAAUUUU